AUGGCAGGUAAUGGAUAAAUCGUCAAACCUCAAUAUCGAUCAUAUGAUAGAUUCAAUUAGCUCGAGUCCAACUGUGAUUCUCAUUUUUUCAUCAAUCAUACUACUAUGGUCAUAGACUUAAGGACUUAGCCUCUCAAAUCUCAUACUACUACUCCUUUCUGCUAAGGUUGAUAAAUCCUAUUUAGAUGUGCAUCCUGUUCCCACAAUGAAUCAAUUGUCGCCAACAUCCACUAUCAGGGCUCAUUGAGGUAAUAUUUCUGUGCAGUCAAACUUCAGCAGCCUCACUGCUAUAGUCAUAGAUUUAAGGACUCAACCUCUCAAAUCUCAUACUACUACUUUCUGCUGAGGUCGAUAAAUCCUAUCUAGAUGUGCAUCCUGUUCCCACAAUGGAUCAAUUGGCGCCAACAUCC
rnacentral:lncRNA from 1 species